UACAGAGGUCUCAAGCGUUGUUCGGAUUCAUUGGGCGUAAAGGGUGCGUAGGCGGCGCGGUAAGUCGGGUGUGAAAUCUCGGGGCUUAACUCCGAAACUGCAUUUGAUACUGGCGUGCUUGAGGACUGGAGAGGAGACUGGAAUUCACGGUGUAGCAGUGAAAUGCGUAGAUAUCGUGAGGAAGACCAGUGGCGAAGGCGGGUCUCUGGACAGUUCCUGACACUGAGGCACGAAGGCCAGGGGGAGCAAACGGG
rnacentral:rRNA from 1 species